GAUGAACGCUGGCGGCGUGCCUAAUACAUGCAAGUCGAGCGAACGGACGAGAAGCUUGCUUCUCUGAUGUUAGCGGCGGACGGGUGAGUAACACGUGGAUAACCUACCUAUAAGACUGGGAUAACUUCGGGAAACCGGAGCUAAUACCGGAUAAUAUUUUGAACCGCAUGGUUCAAAAGUGAAAGACGGUCUUGCUGUCACUUAUAGAUGGAUCCGCGCUGCAUUAGCUGGUUGGUAAGGUAACGGCUUACCAAGGCAACGAUGCAUAGCCGACCUGAGAGGGUGAUCGGCCACACUGGAACUGAGACACGGUCCAGACUCCUACGGGAGGCAGCAGUAGGGAAUCUUCCGCAAUGGGCGAAAGCCUGACGGAGCAACGCCGCGUGAGUGAUGAAGGUCUUCGGAUCGUAAAACUCUGUUAUUAGGGAAGAACAUAUGUGUAAGUAACUGUGCACAUCUUGACGGUACCUAAUCAGAAAGCCACGGCUAACUACGUGCCAGCAGCCGCGGUAAUACGUAGGUGGCAAGCGUUAUCCGGAAUUAUUGGGCGUAAAGCGCGCGUAGGCGGUUUUUUAAGUCUGAUGUGAAAGCCCACGGCUCAACCGUGGAGGGUCAUUGGAAACUGGAAAACUUGAGUGCAGAAGAGGAAAGUGGAAUUCCAUGUGUAGCGGUGAAAUGCGCAGAGAUAUGGAGGAACACCAGUGGCGAAGGCGACUUUCUGGUCUGUAACUGACGCUGAUGUGCGAAAGCGUGGGGAUCAAACAGGAUUAGAUACCCUGGUAGUCCACGCCGUAAACGAUGAGUGCUAAGUGUUAGGGGGUUUCCGCCCCUUAGUGCUGCAGCUAACGCAUUAAGCACUCCGCCUGGGGAGUACGACCGCAAGGUUGAAACUCAAAGGAAUUGACGGGGACCCGCACAGGCGGUGGAGCAUGUGGUUUAAUUCGAAGCAACGCGAAGAACCUUACCAAAUCUUGACAUCCUUUGACAACUCUAGAGAUAGAGCUUUCCCCUUCGGGGGACAAAGUGACAGGUGGUGCAUGGUUGUCGUCAGCUCGUGUCGUGAGAUGUUGGGUUAAGUCCCGCAACGAGCGCAACCCUUAAGCUUAGUUGCCAUCAUUAAGUUGGGCACUCUAAGUUGACUGCCGGUGACAAACCGGAGGAAGGUGGGGAUGACGUCAAAUCAUCAUGCCCCUUAUGAUUUGGGCUACACACGUGCUACAAUGGACAAUACAAAGGGCAGCGAAACCGCGAGGUCAAGCAAAUCCCAUAAAGUUGUUCUCAGUUCGGAUUGUAGUCUGCAACUCGACUACAUGAAGCUGGAAUCGCUAGUAAUCGUAGAUCAGCAUGCUACGGUGAAUACGUUCCCGGGUCU
rnacentral:rRNA from 1 species